GGGCCGAAGAACGACUGGAGGAGCUCGCGGCGCGCGGCAACGUGCUCGGCUUGCGGCGAGAUCCCGACGAGGCGGCUGCUGCACCUAGGGCACGUUUUUGCGUCGCGGUUGGAAGGGAACGGAGUGCGGCCGAGGCUUGAGACAUUUAUAGGGCUCGGAAAGGCAAGAUAUCCCGGGACUUUCGGGAUUGAAACGGCCGGAUCGGUGAGUUCGUCUCAGUUACGAACCGGGAAGAAGGCCAGGGCGCUGACACGCGGGGUCCGGGCGUCAGGGAGAGAGAAGGGAGAGGUUUUUUUUUCCUUUUCUUUUCUUUUGUUUUCUUAUUAUUCCAAAGCUAUUUUCACAUCAUUUCAAAACAUUUUGAAUUAUUUUAAAAUUUUGAGUUCAAAUACACUCAUCACAAUAAAUAGAAUGCAAAGGCAUGCAUGCUCAAGCAUGUUUUCUACGUCCUAUGAUGAAUUUUAGUUUAAUGAAAAAUAUUAUUUUCCUAUGUUUCAUGAGCACAAAAAUUCAUAAUUAAAUCAUUUUAGCUCUAUUUCCCAGAAAACAAUUUUUAGGGUGUUACAAAUCUACCCCCCUUAAGAUGAAUCUCGUCCUCGAGAUUCGGAAGAUGGUGAUCAAAGAGAUGUAGAUACUCCGCUUUUGAACCUUGUUCACUUCCUUGAGUAGCUCUUUCUUAGUAACCAUUCUAUGGCCUUUGUCACUCCGAACAUCUCCAUCAAUGGUUCCCAAGAGUUCAGCAAUGUAAUUUGUAUAGAUAAGGUUUUUUUUUUUACUCAUAGCUUAUCUGGGGUAUAUGUUCCUUGCCCAUCCAUUUAAAACCUGAUGCAUUUCCAACCAUGAUAUACUCAACUUUCUCCUUAUUACUUUCAUCGUCCCAUUUCACAAUCAUCCUUCUCCUUCUUCCAAAGUGAGCCCUAUUAAUUUCCAAAUUUGUAGUGUUAGUAAUAUCACUCAACCUCCGCACACAAAUCCUCAAAUCUAGGUGUUGUCCAAACUUUUCCUAGCACACUCUUUAUGAUAAGAGCUUUGGCAUCGACCUAUACUUCUCCAUAAUCCCACCACUAGAGACAACAUAUUCAAUUUAGAGAACUUAGUUCACUCAAAACUUACUAGCCAUGCAUGGUGAAAUAAUAAGGUUUCAUAACUCUCUGAAGAAUCAUCCGUAGAUGUUCGAUAUCUCUUUCCAAUAUCAUUAAUGUCAUCUUGUCUUGGGCAUGUUGGAAGUUGAACCUCCAUUUGAUAAUAGCUCAAUGUGGAGACCAAUCUUGACGAAUACCUGAACUCAUUGGUGCAAAGAGUAACCACUCUUGAGCAAAGAUAUUUGUGGUUGAUAGGGAGUUGUCCACCAAAGGAAUAACAGAUCUUCCAAAUAAAAUACUUGAACACAUAAAACCUUUGUCUUGCAACUUCUAUAGCUUGGCUACCCCCCUUAAGAUGAGAUCAGCUAGGGGAUACCAAGGAUGGCUUGAACAUUCUUAUGAGUAGGUUAACUACCAUAAAAGAGCUUCUUAUAUCCAAGAGAACUCAUAUACAUAGACAAGAACAAGAAAUCAAAAAUUCCUCGCAAGAUGAAAAACAGCAACUUAGUAAACCAGCUACAACUAAUGUUCCGUCAACCUGAUAGAGUUAUGGUCUACACUGAUGGAAAGCUUAUCAAAUUCUCCACAACUUUCUUGUUGAUCACUUCCCCAUAUUCGGGCGUUAAAAUAAGGUUUGAUAAUCCAACAUAAAAUCUGUCCAGGAAGUCUGACAACACAGACACAGCAUCUUGAAACAGUCAUAUCAUGAGCCAUAGAAACCAUAUAAUGACGAUCCUUACAAUGUUGAAAAGCUUAUGAAAUCCUCUGAAACUUUUGUAUACAACUUUUUCCCAGAUUAUGAAGUUAAUUUGGCUGAAAUUAGGAAAUACUAGGACUGUCCAGACUUUGAAAUAGAACAGAAACAUCCAAUUUCAUCUGUCAUAUCUCAGGUUCUACUUAUCCAAAUAAGUUCUAGCUUACACCGUUGGAAAGCUUAGAAAAUUGUCUACAACUCUUCUAUAGAACACUUUUCCAAAUUCUAUAGUUAUAUUUGUCUAGAACAGUAGGCAACCGAACUGAUCCAGAUUCCUGACAGCACAUAUGUAUCAUCUUGUGAUUUUUGUAACUUCCAAACCAUAAUAGAUAUGAGGGUGAUCCUUGCGGUCAGAGAAAUAUCUUGAAGUCUAGUUGUUCCCAGAAAAAUUUGAUAGACGUUGCAUGAUCAGAACUUGAGAUACACCAGAAUUAUUGCAGUCUGCUUCAGAAAACAGCAAAGGAUAGAAACAGGAUAUAACCAAACCCAACUACUUAUUUCACUACUCCUUAUGCCUUAGGCCUAUAAACUAAAUGAUAUCGUGGAGAAAACCCACAAGAUCAUUGCACUCAUUACAAAGAUCCAAAUCAAUCAUAAGCAUAAUAACAAACCAAACCAAGCAUCAAAGGUUCACACUUCAAGCAUUAACUCAACUUGCGGUACUAUCGUUCUCUUCCUAUUAAGGGCAAAGAUCCUAAAACUUAUAUUUCAAGGACACAAGAAGGUGGUAAGAAAAGGUUCUAAUAGCAUACCAAAUCAAGGAGUGAAGGUGAGAGCAAGUACUCUUAAAAUAAGCAACAAGGUAGAGAAAUAGCAAGAAUAGGGAUAUAGUAUGGAUGAAAAUAUCAAGGUUUAUAGAGCAAGGAUUUUAUGACAAUUCCAAAACCUUAAGAUGACCAAUUUCUAACUAGGCUUGCGUCCUACAGUCAGCAUUGCUUUGAUACCACUUUGUAAUACCCGAUUUUAAGGACAAAACCAGAUAUGCACCAUAUGUGAAUUUUAGAAGUCAAAUCUCACAUAGAGCUACAAAUAAGGGGUAAUAUCAAAAGACAAUGCAUAAAUAUAUAACGUACUUAAUAUAAAAGGAAUAACCUUCAGUAUCAAACAGCGGAUAGACAACUCCAAACUUCGGGUAUUAACUCCUCUCCACAGGAUCAAACUGACUGGUUGAUCACAAGCCCAAAACUUCUCCUGAGGUGUGGGGGAAAUUGCAAGAGUGAGCACAUAUCGUACUCAACAAGUAUAACCAGGAGUUCAUGAGGCUCAAUUAGCUGACACUGGUUUGACUGCAUUUAGCUUUUAUAUGUAGAUAGCAUAUUUAAUUAUUGGAUAGCAAAUAUCAAGGUAGCAUAUUAAAUCCCAUAACCACAUGAUCAAUUGUAUACAGGAAUUAUGAAUAACACAUAUAAACAACAUAAUAAACCAUCUUUUAUCAUCAUUAAUCAUGUUCAUCAGUGUCCAUCUAUUCCGUCAGUUUUCCGGGCCGCCCGUAUCCGUGGGCACGGCUAGUAUACCAGAUUUAACACUCUGCAGAGGUUGUACAUCUUUACCCAUGAGUCAUGAUUUACCCUUUCGCCCGAGGUAGCUAAUCUCUUAACCCCCUUCCUAGGGAGGUCGGCAGGGAUCACUAUGAAGCCUUUCAAAAGUUCGUCUAACAAGUUAGGGCCGCAAGGUUUCCUUUGCGCGCAGAUAUAGAGCCCCCCUUCCGAUGGCACAAUGACUCGCAGCCUAUACUCAUACAGACAGAGGCCACACUAUACCCAAAACGGUUCAGCCCCUCCGCCCUUUCGGGUAACCUCUAACCAGCUAGAAAAGUGCUUCAUACUGAGCUAAAGCCAGAGCCAUUAUAGCCCUCAUGGUUGCACUGUUGUCCCGGUGAUCACUUACAGACAAGAUCUCAUAUAGUUAUUUGUCAUUCUUUUAUGUUCAUUGCAUAGCUAUUAAUCAUCUUACAAGAUCAUGGAUUAUAUCAAGCACUAGCACAUCUACACCAAAUGCAUAUCAAGUAGGUAGCAAGGAAUCCAGGUAACAAUCAUCUAUGAUUUUGCUAAGGUCGACAAGGUGAUAGCAUGCAUAUGACAUAUAUGUGUAGUUAUAAGUGAAUAGGUAACAAGGAUGAUCCCAAGUUAUACUUGCCUUGAUCAAAGCUCUCCUGAGCCUGCUGGUCUUUAAAAGCUUGGUCUUGAUCAACAACGCACGGCUCACCGUCUAUUCCCAAACAUCAAUCAACAGCACGCAAACAAUCGGAGACAAACAUACACGAAGCAAACAAGCUAUAAUUAGAACAAUACACCAAACAGUAGUAAAACAAAUAUAAAAGUUUAUCAAAAUAUUCUACGCAGCGCUACGAUCACAUAAACGUAAAGUUCACGAAAAUCGGAAUUAAAACGGAGAAGUUAUGAGUUUUCUACGAUUUCCUAUAGAGAAAUAAUUAAUUAAAUAGUACCAGGAAAUUAAAAAGUUUCAAAACAGUAAAAUAAUACUUCUAACAUGUAGAGCUCGUAAAUACGAAUCCAACGGAAUUUGAAUGGACAAAAACGGAGUUAAAAUGAGUAUUUUAUGAGCAAACUAAAUCCAAUGGCAAUUCUGUAAUUUCUAGAAAACGUAUUUUACUCAAGCGGUUACGAAAUACGCUUUCGGAGUUGAGUAACGGAAUCGUCUCAGGGCGCCAAGGACUGCGGAGCAAAUAUGAAAAAGUUCAAAGACUCUUUAUAUAGUUUCGCAGCUGAAGGGGUAACUUCUAUUUCUGGCCCUUGAUCUUGGAUCUAACGGCUGGUGUUCCAUCCAGGGCCAAGCCUGGCCGGCCGACCGGAGCUCAGCACGGUGGCGCCAUGGCCACCAUUCGAAAGCUCGCCGGCGUUCGCGGGUUUCUCGUUUCCGAGCACCGUUUCAAGAAAGAAAAACACCAUCGGAACGAGGAGCUCACCGCGAACUCGAGGAGGUGCUUUGUUGGGGCCGAAGAACGACUGGAGGAGCUCGCGGCGCGCGGCAACGUGCUCGGCUUGCGGCGAGAUCCCGACGAGGCGGCUGCUGCACCUAGGGCACGUUUUUGCGUCGCGGUUGGAAGGGAACGGAGUGCGGCCGAGGCUUGAGACAUUUAUAGGGCUCGGAAAGGCAAGAUAUCCCGGGACUUUCGGGAUUGAAACGGCCGGAUCGGUGAGUUCGUCUCAGUUACGAACCGGGAAGAAGGCCAGGGCGCUGACACGCGGGGUCCGGGCGUCAGGGAGAGAGAAGGGAGAGGGUUUUUUUUCCUUUUCUUUUCUUUUGUUUUCUUAUUAUUCCAAAGCUAUUUUCACAUCAUUUCAAAACAUUUUGAAUUAUUUUAAAAUUUUGAGUUCAAAUACACUCAUCACAAUAAAUAGAAUGCAAAGGCAUGCAUGCUCAAGCAUGUUUUCUACGUCCUAUGAUGAAUUUUAGUUUAAUGAAAAAUAUUAUUUUCCUAUGUUUUAUGAGCACAAAAAUUCAUAAUUAAAUCAUUUUAGCUCUAUUUCCUAGAAAACAAUUUUUAGGGUGUUACAUAAACUCUGUAGAUCUUGAGAAGUUAUGGAAUUUUGUAUUUGGUAACUUUUUUAUUUGAGUUCAUCUUGUCAUGCAAAACCGCGUUUUUGAUUUAAAAUUUAAAAUUUUGAUUUUUUUUAAACAACCUCGGAUGGAAAACUCUCUAAAUAAACUUUGUAGAUCUCAAAAAGUCAUGAAACUUUGUAGUUGAUAACUUUUUGUUUUAAAAUCAUCUUGUCAUGCAAAAACUACAUUUGAUUUUCUUAAAUUUGAAAAUUCUUUGGCG
rnacentral:lncRNA from 1 species